rnacentral:rRNA from 1 species
UGGGGAAUAUUGGACAAUGGGGGGAACCCUGAUCCAGCCAUGCCGCGUGUGUGAAGAAGGCCUUAUGGUUGUAAAGCACUUUAAGCGAGGAGGAGGCUCUUUUGGUUAAUACCCAAGAUGAGUGGACGUUACUCGCAGAAUAAGCACCGGCUAACUCUGUGCCAGCAGCCGCGGUAAAUACGAGGGUGCGAGCGUUAAUCGGAUUUACUGGGCGUAAAGCGUGCGUAGGCGGCUUUUUAAGUCGGAUGUGAAAUCCCCGAGCUUAACUUGGGAAUUGCAUUCGAUACUGGGAAGCUAGAGUAUGGGAGAGGAUGGUAGAAUUCCAGGUGUAGCGGUGAAAUGCGUAGAGAUCUUGGAGGAAUACCGAUGGCGAAGGCAGCCAUCUGGCCUAAUACUGACGCUGAGGUACGAAAGCAUGGGGAGCAAACA